rnacentral:rRNA from 1 species
GACGAACACUAGCGGCGUGCUUAACACAUGCAAGUCGAACGGUAAGGCCCUUUCGGGGUACGACGAGCGGCGAACGGGUGAGUAACACGUGGGUGACCUGCCCUCAGCUCUGGGAUAAGCCCGGGAAACUGGGUCUAAUACUGGAUAUUACUCUGCGGUGCAUGCAGUGGGGUGGAAAGCCUUGUGCGGCUGGGGAUGGGCCCGCGGCCUAUCAGCUUGUUGGUGGGGUNAUGGCCACCAAGGCGACGACGGUAGCCGGCCUGAGAGGGCGACCGGCCACACUGGGACUGAGACACGGCCCAGACUCCUACGGGAGGCAGCAGUGGGGAAUC